CCAAGGUAUUCUGUCAUGGUUGCAACCUUCCCAGUCAGCCAGAUUCAGUGCAGUAGGUGGGGGAGGGGCAUUGGAGGUUGAACUUUUCUGCCCUGUGGAGGCUUCUUUUUUGCACUAUUGAUAGACUCGAUUCAGCCAGUUGAGUUGAUCUGCAGAGCUAGAUGUUCCCUGAGGUCAAAGCUUCCAGAGAGAGAGGCCCAAGAUGGAAGAGGGGUGGCUGAAGGCUGCAACCAGGCUGCCCUCCUCUCUGCCCCUCUCCUCCAGCUGCUUCCCUGCCAGCUGUGGUCAGAGCCCUGAGCCUCAAGUAGCUAUGAUAACAAGGCACCUCUCUCCAGGCUGGAGCCCUCAGCAUAGUAGGUGCCAGUUGUCCUCAGGGGUUCCAAUUCUACUGCCUCCUACAACAAGUAGACUUUUGAUGACCCAAAAAACCUAGGCCUUAUUCAGUGAGAAGUCUUCAUCUCCCUUCACCCAGAAGAACAUCCAUCAGUGGAAUUCCCUCCCUCCCAAAAUAGGACAUGAUCUGACCUUCAAAAUUCCUGAUUUAGAAAUCUUUGAAAUAGAUUGCUUCCUGUUAUUCCUGAAGCACUGAAUGGAUAGAGCUGAGCCCUACUUGGCAGUUUCAUCACACUCAAGUCACUAGUUUGAAGCUGCCUGAGUCCAUGCCUGCCAAGCUAAAUCUCUUCCAAGCCUGAUUCACUCAUUCACAAUUCCACCAGACUUGGACUACCAGCCAAAGAUUCUGCAGAUCUGGAAUAAAUAACCAUUUCCUGCCUACAAAGAGGAGAGGCUAUCCUGAAAGCUCACUCAACAGCAGCACUUCCAAAGGCCCUGGGUCUGGUUCCUUCAUUGUAUUUUCGGAAAACCCUUCAGGAAGUGAAUGGGGAGAAAAAAGCGGCUUUUCCCAAAAGUAGUGGCCAAAUACUCUUCAAAGGACAAUCAUCCCAAGAUUGAGCCAAAGUUUCCAUAUUUCCAUCUUCAGAAUUAUUCAUUAUUGAAAGAAGAUUUCUUGUCCAGAACUAAGGAGAUACCACACUUUUAUCAGGCUAGAACCAAAUUAUUACCACUUUCAAAAAGAAAGUUUAUACCUGUAUCCUCAGAAUCCCAGAAACAAAGGGAAAAAAUUCAGCAUCAAUCUGAAUUUGGUGAUCAGAAAAUGGCUGUGCUGUUAGCUUAUCUUGACAAUUGGAACAUGGCUAAACCACUCAUACCCCAAAAGCAACAUUAUAUGGCCACAGUUUUACCUUCAAUAUACAAGGAGUACAAGAUUAAGGAAAUCCCUGUGUCUUUACCAUCCCUAAACCAAAAUGUAACAUCUCUACCCAGUCUUGACCACAAGAUUCCAUCUCUAGUUCAUCCUGACUCUUUGGAAAACAAUUCUUUGGACUCUGACCAGAUACACAAGAUUCCAUAGUACCUGUCAUACUUCAACCAGUGGCUCAUAUCCUCUCCAAUGAACAUUGAUUUGAGAUCCCACUUAUUCUCUACUCCCAGGAUAGAGCUGAGCCCUACUUGGCAGUUUCAUCACACUCAAGUCACUAGUUUGAAGCUGCCUGAGUCCAUGCCUACCAAGCUAAAUCUCUUCCAAGCCUGAUUCACUCAUUCACAAUUCCACCAGACUUGGACUACCAGCCAAAGAUUCUGCAGAUCUGGAAUAAAUAACCAUUUCCUGCCUACAAAGAGGAGAGGCUAUCCUGAAAGCUCACUCAACAGUAGCAUUUUGGGUCUUACCAUGGUGCUACUUCAUCAACCUCAGACCAGUUGACUACACCUUCAUUUGUUUAGGAGGUGUCCCAUCUCUACUGUGUCCUAACCUCCUAGGCUGAGUAUACACCAGGCUCUAAUGUCCACAUCUCCAAAACACAGAGGCCAUGGAAUAAUGCUUCUAUGGAGGAAAGGACAACCCUAGACAAUAUUAUGACAUUCCCUGUGUGUCUGACAACCAGAACUGAGGCUGCAAGGCAUGACAGCACCAUCCAUGACAGGCCUGGUACAUUGCAUAUCAACUACUCAGGACCCUGACUAUGGAAACUCAACUGUCUUGAGUCUAGCCCAAAGUUGUAAUAGGCUAUGACUUUUUGGCUAAGAUUGAAUCACACUCAGAGGUGGCUCCUGAAUGUCAACACUAAGCUUAUUCUGUAGAGAGAAGAGAAGAUUUGCAAUAUUUAAGAAACAUUAAACCAUCUGCCAUUGGUGAGAAAGCUGUGUCUACUAGAACUGCCAAUAUCAUUUAAUUUUAUUGCCCAGGAGAAAAUACUUAAAAUAAUAUCUACAAGGGGAUUCUUCUCCAUUGGAUGAAGGAAUGUCCUCCAUGCUGACCCAGAAUUCAAGUGCUAUAUAGUGUGGUUUGUUGAUAUGUGCUAUAUAGUUGAAUGGCAUGUUUGGUCUGUAUCUCUGAGAUCUCAAAUGUCAGCCCCAACACUCAAGGAAUCAUGUCUUUAGUGAUUCAAGCACUGGUCAAGCAACACCUUUAUUUGGUUAGGAGGAAAUAGGUAUGAAAAAGUCAUAGAUAAAAUAUAGUUCAUUUUUAGUUUCUAGUAAUUACAUUCUAAUAUAUACUCUCCUCUACCACCCCUCACAUUAACAUUCCAUGUCAGAAUCUAAUUGGCCCCUGAAUCACCCAUUUACCACCAACCACAUUUUGGUGGUCACCAGAAUUGACUAUAUACUUAAUAUUGAUAACAAGCAAAAUACAUAAUAGUUAACAGACAUUCACAAAUAAAAUGCCCACAUACAGUAGCUGUUCUUGUGAAGAAGAGUGAAGGACACCUGAAGGGUUUCCCUAAACCACUAGAGAAGUUGUAAGAGUAAAUAAACUGACUUACCUGUAUGAAUGUCAUCCUAAA